GGGCCAAUAGCUCAGCUGGCUAGAGCGCUUCCAUGGCAUGGAAGAGGUCCGGGGUUCAAAUCCCCGUUGGUCCA
rnacentral:tRNA from 3 species